GGACUCGAGAUCUUGCGGUACGUCAUUAUCUUCCCGCACAAAAGAGCUUUACAACCCUAGGGCCUUCAUCACUCACGCGGCAUGGCUGGAUCAGGCUUGCGCCCAUUGUCCAAUAUUCCCCACUGCUGCCUCCCGUAGGAGUCCCCCCGUGCCCCCGCCCCGCCCGCCGCGCGCGGCGGGGGGGGGGGG
rnacentral:rRNA from 1 species